rnacentral:rRNA from 1 species
GACCAGACUCCUACGGGAGGCAGCAGUGGGGGAUAUUGCACAAUGGGGGAAACCCUGAUGCAGCGACGCCGCGUGGGUGAAGAAGCGCCUCGGCGCGUAAAGCCCUGUCAGCAGGGAAGAAAAUGACGGUACCUGAAGAAGAAGCCCCGGCUAACUACGUGCCAGCAGCCGCGGUAAUACGUAGGGGGCAAGCGUUGUCCGGAAUGACUGGGCGUAAAGGGAGUGUAGGCGGCCUUGUAAGUUAGAUGUGAAAUCCUACGGCUUAACCGUAGAACUGCAUCUAAAACUGUGAGGCUGGAGUGCAGGAGAGGUGAGUGGAAUUCCUAGUGUAGCGGUGGAAUGCGUAGAUAUUAGGAGGAACACCAGAGGCGAAGGCGACUCACUGGACUGUAACUGACGCUGAGGCUCGAAAGCGUGGGGAGCAAACAGGAUUAGAUACCCCAGUA